UAGGUCUCUAUUUAUUUUUAGGUGUGCCAACACACUGAUUCCAAACCACAAAAUUUAUUUCUUUAAUAAUUUAUCAUUUUCUACACUAUUUUCCAUUUCUUUCUUCUUCUAACUCUUCAUCAACAUACUUUUCAGUUUUUUCUCCUUUCUUUUAUGUGUAUUGAUAUUCUCACAAGUGAUCAACUUUUAUUAUACAACCAAUUUAUUUUCUACUCUCGAUUGAGACUUAUUUGAUAAGCUGGUUUAUUUCACCUUUCUAGUUGACGAAUGAUUAUCUUCCUUUUUUCAUAUGUAAUUUGAGAUUCAAGAGAAUA
rnacentral:lncRNA from 1 species